UACAGAGGGUGCAAGCGUUAAUCGGAAUUACUGGGCGUAAAGCGUGCGCAGGCGGUUUUGUAAGCCAGAUGUGAAAUCCCCGGGCUUAACCUGGGAAUGGCAUUUGGGACUGCAAGGCUGGAGUGCGGCAGAGGAGACUGGAAUUCCUGGUGUAGCAGUGAAAUGCGUAGAUAUCAGGAGGAAUACCGAUGGCGAAGGCAGGUCUCUGGGCUGACACUGACGCUCAUGCACGAAAGCGUGGGGAGCAAACGGG
rnacentral:rRNA from 1 species